GGUUAAGCGACUAAGCGUACACGGUGGAUGCCCUGGCAGUCAGAGGCGAUGAAGGACGUGCUAAUCUGCGAAAAGCGUCGGUAAGGUGAUAUGAACCGUUAUAACCGGCGAUGUCCGAAUGGGGAAACCCAGUGCAAUUCGUUGCACUAUCGUUAACUGAAUACAUAGGUUAACGAGGCGAACCGGGGGAACUGAAACAUCUAAGUACCCCGAGGAAAAGAAAUCAACCGAGAUUCCCCCAGUAGCGGCGAGCGAACGGGGAGCAGCCCAGAGUCUGAAUCAGCUUGUGUGUUAGUGGAACGGUCUGGAAAGUCCGACGGUACAGGGUGAUAGUCCCGUACACCAAAAUGCACAGGUUGUGAACUCGAAGAGUAGGGCGGGACACGUGGUAUCCUGUCUGAAUAUGGGGGGACCAUCCUCCAAGGCUAAAUACUCCUGACUGACCGAUAGUGAACCAGUACCGUGAGGGAAAGGCGAAAAGAACCCCGGCGAGGGGAGUGAAAAAGAACCUGAAACCGUGUACGUACAAGCAGUGGGAGCACCUUCGGGUGUGACUGCGUACCUUUUGUAUAAUGGGUCAGCGACUUAUAUUCUGUAGCAAGGUUAACCGUAUAGGGGAGCCGCAGGGAAACCGAGUCUUAACUGGGCGUUAAGUUGCAGGGUAUAGACCCGAAACCCGGUGAUCUAGCCAUGGGCAGGUUGAAGGUUGGGUAACACUAACUGGAGGACCGAACCGACUAAUGUUGAAAAAUUAGCGGAUGACUUGUGGCUGGGGGUGAAAGGCCAAUCAAACCGGGAGAUAGCUGGUUCUCCCCGAAAGCUAUUUAGGUAGCGCCUCGUGAACUCAUCUUCGGGGGUAGAGCACUGUUUCGGCUAGGGGGUCAUCCCGACUUACCAACCCGAUGCAAACUACGAAUACCGAAGAAUGUUAUCACGGGAGACACACGGCGGGUGCUAACGUCCGUCGUGAAGAGGGAAACAACCCAGACCGCCAGCUAAGGUCCCAAAGUCAUGGUUAAGUGGGAAACGAUGUGGGAAGGCACAGACAGCCAGGAUGUUGGCUUAGAAGCAGCCAUCAUUUAAAGAAAGCGUAAUAGCUCACUGGUCGAGUCGGCCUGCGCGGAAGAUGUAACGGGGCUAAACCAUGCACCGAAGCUGCGGCAGCGACACUAUGUGUUGUUGGGUAGGGGAGCGUUCUGUAAGCCUGCGAAGGUGUGCUGUGAGGCAUGCUGGAGGUAUCAGAAGUGCGAAUGCUGACAUAAGUAACGAUAAAGCGGGUGAAAAGCCCGCUCGCCGGAAGACCAAGGGUUCCUGUCCAACGUUAAUCGGGGCAGGGUGAGUCGACCCCUAAGGCGAGGCCGAAAGGCGUAGUCGAUGGGAAACAGGUUAAUAUUCCUGUACUUGGUGUUACUGCGAAGGGGGGACGGAGAAGGCUAUGUUAGCCGGGCGACGGUUGUCCCGGUUUAAGCAUGUAGGCUGAUUGUCCAGGCAAAUCCGGAUAAUCAAGGCUGAGGUGUGAUGACGAGGCACUACGGUGCUGAAGUAACAAAUGCCCUGCUUCCAGGAAAAGCCUCUAAGCAUCAGGUAACAUCAAAUCGUACCCCAAACCGACACAGGUGGUCAGGUAGAGAAUACCAAGGCGCUUGAGAGAACUCGGGUGAAGGAACUAGGCAAAAUGGUGCCGUAACUUCGGGAGAAGGCACGCUGGUGUGUAGGUGAAGCCCCUGCGGGUGGAGCUGAGACCAGUCGAAGAUACCAGCUGGCUGCAACUGUUUAUUAAAAACACAGCACUGUGCAAACACGAAAGUGGACGUAUACGGUGUGACGCCUGCCCGGUGCCGGAAGGUUAAUUGAUGGGGUUAUCCGUAAGGAGAAGCUCUUGAUCGAAGCCCCGGUAAACGGCGGCCGUAACUAUAACGGUCCUAAGGUAGCGAAAUUCCUUGUCGGGUAAGUUCCGACCUGCACGAAUGGCGUAAUGAUGGCCAGGCUGUCUCCACCCGAGACUCAGUGAAAUUGAACUCGCUGUGAAGAUGCAGUGUACCCGCGGCAAGACGGAAAGACCCCGUGAACCUUUACUAUAGCUUGACACUGAACAUUGAGCCUUGAUGUGUAGGAUAGGUGGGAGGCUUUGAAGCGUGGACGCCAGUCUGCGUGGAGCCAACCUUGAAAUACCACCCUUUAAUGUUUGAUGUUCUAACGUUGGCCCCUGACCGGGGUUGCGGACAGUGUCUGGUGGGUAGUUUGACUGGGGCGGUCUCCUCCCAAAGCGUAACGGAGGAGCACGAAGGUUAGCUAAUCCUGGUCGGACAUCAGGAGGUUAGUGCAAUGGCAUAAGCUAGCUUGACUGCGAGCGUGACGGCGCGAGCAGGUGCGAAAGCAGGUCAUAGUGAUCCGGUGGUUCUGAAUGGAAGGGCCAUCGCUCAACGGAUAAAAGGUACUCCGGGGAUAACAGGCUGAUACCGCCCAAGAGUUCAUAUCGACGGCGGUGUUUGGCACCUCGAUGUCGGCUCAUCACAUCCUGGGGCUGAAGUAGGUCCCAAGGGUAUGGCUGUUCGCCAUUUAAAGUGGUACGCGAGCUGGGUUUAGAACGUCGUGAGACAGUUCGGUCCCUAUCUGCCGUGGGCGCUGGAGAAUUGAGGGGGGCUGCUCCUAGUACGAGAGGACCGGAGUGGACGCAUCACUGGUGUUCGGGUUGUCAUGCCAAUGGCACUGCCCGGUAGCUAAAUGCGGAAGAGAUAAGUGCUGAAAGCAUCUAAGCACGAAACUUGCCCCGAGAUGAGUUCUCCCUGAGACUUUAAGUCUCCUGAAGGAACGUUAAAGACGAUGACGUUGAUAGGCCGGGUGUGUAAGCGCAGCGAUGCGUUGAGCUAACCGGUACUAAUGAACCGUGAGGCUUAACCUU
rnacentral:rRNA from 1 species